CAGUGACCUGCCCGUUUUGCCCCUGCAUUCUCUUUGGCUUUUUAACUGAUUACCCCGGCAGGUGUACGUCUUCAUUGGCGUCCGAGGCUUUCCGCGUGGCUCUGUUUCCUGGCUCCACGAAGAGAGAACAAUCAAAGAGAAAUCAAGAACGAUCGAGGACUCGAGUCCAGGUGUGUUUCUUUGCUUUGCCCGAAGAGAGAGAGAGAGCAUUUUAUCCUUGGCCUCUGGCUGCUAUUUACCCCUCCGCAUGUGCACCGACUGUUGCUAUCGUGUCUCUAUUCCGAAGAAAGGGGGAGUGGGAGCAAGAGGGAUCAAAGAGUGAGAGAGAGAGAGCGCGAACAGGUCUUCGAUCUUCAAUCGUCUUUGAUUUUCAUCCAUCACUGCUUAACCCAAUUGAUCCCUUUCUCAUUUCAAUUAACUACAUGGGAAAACUGAUUAAGGUUACGGCAUUUGCAGAGAAAAGUUUUCAGGCCUGCGAUCACUGUUGAGGUCCAAAAGACAAGUCUCCUGUUUUGCAUAUUGUUAUUGUUGGUCUUUCAAGUGAUUUAUCUCUCAGAUCAGUUGUGUUCUAGGGGUGAGUUUUUUUUGUUUGUUUGAUGUUAUUGUAUUCUGCUGAUAAUCUGAGAAAAGAAAAGUACAAUAAAAGCAAAUAGAAAAGGCUUUACAUCUAAAGAUACUAUUUUUGUUAUUUCGUUUUCAUUGUUUAGGUAUCCUUUGGUUUAUUUGGAGCUGUUUACAGUAGUGUUAGAUAAAUUUUUCAUAUAAGCUUGCAUUUCGGAAUAAUGUAUAAUGUAUAUGGUAAGAUGUUGUUAUAUGUUAUCUACUCAUUGAUUA